CCUACGGGAGGCAGCAGUGAGGAAUAUUGGUCAAUGGCCGGAAGGCUGAACCAGCCAAGUCGCGUGAGGGACGACUGCCCUAUGGGUUGUAAACAUCUUUUAUAAGGGAAGAAUAAAUGCUACGUGUACCAUGAUGCCUGUACCUUAUGAAUAAGCAUCGGCAAACUCCGUGCCAGCAGCCGCGGUACUACGGAGGAUGCGAGCGUUAUCCGGAUUUAUUGGGGUUAAGGGGUGCGUAGGCGGUUUUUUAAGUUAGUGGUUAAACGUCGGGGCUUAACCUUGAUUUGCCAUUGAUACUGUAAGACUUGAGUUCAGAAGAGGUAGGCGGAAUACG
rnacentral:rRNA from 1 species